UAGCUCAGUCGGUUAGAGCGUGGUGCUGAUAACACCAAGGCUGCGGGUUCGAUCCCCGC
rnacentral:tRNA from 1 species